rnacentral:rRNA from 1 species
CGGUAAUACGUAGGUCCCGAGCGUUGCGCGGAGUCACUGGGCGUAAAGCGUCCGCAGCCGGUCGGGUAAGCGGGAUGUCAAAGCCCGCCGCUCAACGGCGGAACGGCGUCCUGAACUGCCCGACUUGAGGCACGCCCGGGCAGGCGGAAUUCCCGGGGUAGCGGUGAAAUGCGUAGAUCUCGGGAGGAACACCGAAGGGGAAGCCAGCCUGCUGGGGCUGUCCUAACGGUCAGGGACGAAAGCCAGGGGAGCGAACCGGAUUAGAUACCCGGGUAGUCCUGGCCGUAAACCAUGGGCGCUAGGGCUUGUCCCUUCGGGGGCAGGCUCGCAGCUAACGCGUUAAGCGCCCCGCCUGGGGAGUACGGGCGCAAGCCUGAAACUCAAAGGAAUUGGCGGGGGCCCGCACAACCGGUGGAGCGUCUGGUUCAAUUCGAUGCUAACCGAAGAACCUUACCCGGGCUUGACAUGCCGGGGUAACCUCUGCGAAAGCGGAGGGUUUUCGUUCUUCUGGAACGAACCCCGGCACAGGUGGUGCAUGGCCGUCGUCAGCUCGUGUCGUGAGAUGUUGGGUUAAGUCCCGCAACGAGCGCAACCCUUGCCCCUAGUUGCUACCCCGUUUGGGGAGCACUCUAGGGGGACUGCCGGCGAUAAGCCGGAGGAAGGUGGGGAUGACGUCAGGUCAGUAUGCCCUUUAUGCCCGGGGCCACACAGGCGCUACAGUGGCCGGGACAAUGGGAUGCGACCCAGCGAUGGGGAGCUAAUCCCUAAACCCGGUCAUGGUGCGGAUUGGAGGCUGAAACUCGCCUCCAUGAAGCCGGAAUCGGUAGUAACGGGGUAUCAGCGAUGUCCCCGUGAAUACGUUCUCGGG